CUUGCAUAAUUCUGUUUUGAAAUUCAGCUUAUUAUUCUCAGUUUGAAGGGUGGCAGCUAGACAACACAGAGGCAGCUGGAUGAGGUCCAGGGUUUGCUGGGCGCUGGUGAAUUUUAAGAAACAGAGAGUGCACUAUGCCAUAGCAUGAAGAAAGUAAUUGCUUGAUUGAAAAAGUACCAAGUUGAGAGAUACUAUUCAAUAAUGUACAAUGUCAUUUUCAACAAUGAAGCGUUGUCAUUUUGAAUCCUGUGAGUCUUCUUUAGCCACGAAAUCCUGUUUAAUGGUCACUAUGAAAGCAAUACUGCUGGCAGGUUUGUUUUUUUUUUUUUUUUUGUAUCCUGGCAGAACAUAUUUGUAUAUCAUUAAA
rnacentral:lncRNA from 12 species